AACGAACGCUGGCGGCGCGCCUAAUACAUGCAAGUCGAACGAGAAGGUGUAGCAAUACACUUGUACAGUGGCGAACGGGUGAGGAAUGCAUGGGCAACCUACCCUCGAGUGGGAACAACCAGCCGAAAGGUUGGCUAAUACCGCGUACGCUUCCGGGUCUCCGGAUCCGGAAGGAAAGUCACACCGUGGGUGUGACGCUCAAGGAUGGGCUCAUGUCCUAUCAGCUUGUUGGGAGGUAACGGCUCACCAA
rnacentral:rRNA from 1 species